UUUCGCCUUGAAAUUUUCGCUUUCAAGUGUAAGUAGUACACUAAUAAGUAGAUACCGUGUACGCGUUUAUAUGUAUGUACAUAUUUAAGUAUGUAUGUAUGUAUGUGUGUAUGUAGAUACUCGUCCAUAUUUGCCAUCUACUUAAUGCCUUAUAUCGCUUGGUUUUGACUGUGGAGUAAUGAAGAAUUCGAGCUCAACACUCGGCGGUUUGUUGACUUAAAAAUGACGCUUAAAAAACACAAAAAAUUAAAAAAAAAAAACAAUGUUAUAUUGCUUCAUUGAAAAAAAAA